rnacentral:hammerhead_ribozyme from 1 species
AUCCGGAUGAUGAGUCCCAAAUAGGACGAAAUGCGCAUCCUGGAU